GACGAACGCUGGCGGCGUGCUUAACACAUGCAAGUCGAACGGAAAGGCCCAGCUUGCUGGGUACUCGAGUGGCGAACGGGUGAGUAACACGUGGGUGAUCUGCCCUGCACUCUGGGAUAAGCCUGGGAAACUGGGUCUAAUACCGGAUAUGACCAACUGUCGCAUGGUGGUUGGUGGAAAGCUUUUGCGGUGUGGGAUGGGCCCGCGGCCUAUCAGCUUCUUGGUGGGGUAAUGGCCUACCAAGGCGACGACGGGUAGCCGACCUGAGAGGGUGAUCGGCCACACUGGGACUGAGACACGGCCCAGACUCCUACGGGAGGCAGCAGUGGGGAAUAUUGCACAAUGGGCGCAAGCCUGAUGCAGCGACGCCGCGUGAGGGAUGACGGCCUUCGGGUUGUAAACCUCUUUCACCAGGGACGAAGCGUGAGUGACGGUACCUGGAGAAGAAGCACCGGCCAACUACGUG
rnacentral:rRNA from 1 species